rnacentral:tRNA from 1 species
GACCAGUUAGCUCAGUCAGUUGAGCGAGACAUUAACAAUGCCAAGGUCGUGGGUUUGAUUCCCAUUCGGUCC